UUCUUCUUCCUCCCUCAACUUCCAAAUCCCCACUCCGAUUUCCUUCAUCUCAUCUCAAACCUAUCCCCAACCUUCUCUUCCAUGGCUCAUCUCGCUCUCUCCUCUCCUGUUCAGACGGCAGCAACAACGAACCUCCUCCCUCCGGCGACGCCGUUCCUAAGCAAGUUCCUCUGGUUCUUCUUUUUUUUUUCUUUUCACCUGGAUUUUUUCAAUUCGGUUUCUAUUGUAUUUGAAUUCGAGGUUUCGCCAGCUAGUAUUCGGAUUAGGGGUGGUGAUACUGGAAGUAAGAAAUGGUAUCAGAAAGUGGGAAGCCUUGUAGUUAUUUUG
rnacentral:lncRNA from 1 species